GAUGAACGCUGGCGGCGUGCCUAAUACAUGCAAGUCGAGCGAACAGACGAGGAGCUUGCUCCUCUGACGUUAGCGGCGGACGGGUGAGUAACACGUGGAUAACCUACCUAUAAGACUGGGAUAACUUCGGGAAACCGGAGCUAAUACCGGAUAAUAUAUUGCACCGCAUGGUUCAAUAGUGAAAGACGGUUUUGCUGUCACUUCUAGAUGGAUCCGGGCCGGAUGAGCUAGUUGGUAAGGUAACGGCUUACCAAGGGAACGAUGCGUAGCCGACCUGAGAGGGUGAUCGGCCACACGGGAACUGAGACACGGUCCAGACUCCUACGGGAGGCAGCAGUAGGGAAUCGUCCGCAAUGGGCGAAAGCCUGGCGGAGCAACGCCGCGUGAGUGAUGAAGGUCUUCGGAUCGUAAAACUCUGUUAUUAGGGAAGAACAAAUGUGUAAGUAACUAUGCACGUCUUGACGGUACCUAAUCAGAAAGCCACGGCUAACUACGUG
rnacentral:rRNA from 1 species